rnacentral:sRNA from 1 species
GCCUGCAUCCAACACCCAGGUCCGACGCCCGCAUCUCCUCCAGGGGAGCUGGGAAACCAGAGAUCCAGCCUCUGCUUUGUGCAGACUCACAAAGUGGUCCUUGUAUAUCCCUGCCCUGUCUGGGCCUCAGUUUCCCUCACUGAUUCUUGGUGUUUUCUCCACCACAGGCACAUAGGGCAGCCCAACGAAGCCUUAAAGUUCCUGAACAAGGCACGCAAGGACAGCACUUGGGGCCAGAGCGCCAUCUACCACAUGGUGCAGAUCUGUCUGAAUCCAGACAACGAGGUUGUGGGCGGAGAGGCUUUUGAGAACCAGGGGGCUGAGAGCAACUACAUGGAGAAGAAGGAGUUGGAGCAGCAGGGUGUGAGCACUGCCGAGAAACUGCUGCGUGAGUUUUACCCACAUUCAGACUCCAGCCAGACCCAGCUGCGGCUGCUGCAGGGCCUCUGCCGGCUGGCCACCAGGGAGAAGGCUAACAUGGAGGCUGCGCUGGGCAGCUUCAUCCAGAUAGCACAGGUUGAGAAGGACAGCGUCCCUGCCCUGCUGGCCUUGGCACAAGCCUACGUGUUCCUGAAGCAGAUCCCCAAGGCGCGUAUGCAGUUGAAGCGCCUGGCCAAGACCCCCUGGGUGCUGAGUGAGGCUGAGGACCUGGAGAAGAGCUGGCUCCUGCUGGCCGACAUUUACUGCCAGGGCAGCAAGUUCGACCUUGCCUUAGAACUGCUGCGGCGCUGUGUGCAAUACAACAAGGCAAGGAGCCACACACACACUAGGGCUGCGGGAUGGCAGAAAGGGUUCUAGGCAUUCCAGGAAGGUGAAGCAGGCUUUGCAGG